UAACUGAACAACUGGUUGGAGGGCAUGAG
rnacentral:piRNA from 2 species